UGAACCGGGCAACGCCGGGAAUCGAACCCGGGCCGCCCGCGUGGCAGGCGAGCAUUCUACCACUGAACCACCGAUGC